rnacentral:rRNA from 1 species
CCUACGGGCGGCAGCAGUGGGGCAUAUUGGACAAUGGGGGGAACCCUGAUCCAGCGACGCCGCGUGAGUGAAGAAGUCUUUCGGUAUGUAAAGCUCUAUUAGCAGGGAAGAAAAUGACGGUACCUGACUCAGAAGCCCCGGCUAACUACGUGCCAGCAGACGCGGUAAGACGUAGGGGGCCAGCGUUAGCCGGAUUUACUGGGCGUAAAGGGGGCGUAGACGGGGCAGCAAGUCUGAUGUGAAGGGUCGGGGCCCAACCCCGGGACUGCAUUGGAGACUGUUGAACUAGAGUACAGGAGAGGUAGGCGGAAUUCCUAGUGUAGCGGUGAAAUGCGUAGAUAUUAGGAGGAACACCAGUGGCGAAGGCGGCUUACUGGACUAUAACUGACGUUGAGGCUCGAAAGCGUGGGGAGCAAACAGGAUUAGAUACCCGAGUAGUC